UACGGAGGGUGCGAGCGUUGUCCGGAAUCAUUGGGCGUAAAGGGCGCGUAGGUGGCCCGGUCAGUUCGUGGUGAAAGCGCGGGGCUCAACCCUGCGUCGGCCAUGAAUACUGCCGCGGCUGGAGCACUGUAGAGGCAGGCGGAAUUCCGGGUGUAGCGGUGGAAUGCGUAGAGAUCCGGAAGAACACCGGUGGCGAAGGCGGAUCUCUGGGCCGUAACUGACGCUGAGGAGCGAAAGCAUGGGGAGCGAACAGG
rnacentral:rRNA from 1 species